GACGAACCGUGCGAACGUUGUUCGGAUUCACUGGGCUUAAAGGGCGCGUAGGCGGGCGGUCAAGUCAGGGGUGAAAUCUUUCGGCUCAACCGGAAAAGUGCCUUUGAUACUGGCCGUCUCGAGGGAGGUAGGGGCAUGCGGAACUUCCGGUGGAGCGGUGAAAUGCGUAGAUAUCAGGAAGAACACCCGUGGCUAAGGCGGCUCUCUAGUACGGUACUGACGCUGAGACGCGAAAGCGUGGGGAGCGAACAGG
rnacentral:rRNA from 1 species